GGAGGAGUGGCGGAGUGGUUUAACGCACCGGUCUUGAAAACCGACGUAGGGGAAACUCUACCGUGGGUUCGAAUCCCACCUCCUCCGCCA
rnacentral:tRNA from 1 species